rnacentral:rRNA from 1 species
GACGAACGCUGGCGGCGUGCUUAACACAUGCAAGUCGAACGGAAAGUCCCUGCUUUUGUGGGGUGCUCGAGUGGCGAACGGGUGAGUAACACGUGGGUAACCUGCCCUUGACUUUGGGAUAACUUCAGGAAACUGGGGCUAAUACCGGAUAGGAGCUCCUGCUGCAUGGCGGGGGUUGGAAAGUUUCGGCGGUUGGGGAUGGACUCGCGGCUUAGCAGCUUGUUGGUGAGGUAGUGGCUUUCCAAGGCUUUGAAGGUUAGCCGGCCUGAGAGGGUGACCGGCCACAGUGGGAUUGGGAAACGGCCCGGAGUGCUACGGGAGGCAGCAGUGGGGAACAUUGCACGAUGGGCGGAAGCCGGAUGCAGCAACGCCGCGUGCGGGAUGACGGCCGUUGGGUUGGAAACCGCUUUCGCCGGUGACGAAGCGUGAGUGACGGUAAUGGGUAAAGAAGCACCGGCUAACUACGUG